AUGGGGUGGUGGUGCCUUGCAACAAGGCUGGUUCUUGUUGUCCUUCUGGCUCCUAGAGUGUGGCUUCAGUUUAUUCCUACAACAGGUCAGGUAAAGGUAGACUGCCUAGGCAGUCUUGCCAGACUAAAACUGAAUUCAGGCUAUUUCCAGCACAAGUACAUCAGCCUUGCUGCUAUCGACAAGUUUGGCAGGGCUUGGCCAUUAGAUGCUGUUCUGGCUACAAAAUGUGGAUACACCAUCUCUCAGGAUGUCUGGGGAAACGUUGAACUCCGUGCCUCCCUGA
rnacentral:lncRNA from 1 species